rnacentral:rRNA from 1 species
GAGGAGCCCGUAUCCCAUUAGGUAGUUGGUAAGGUAACGGCUUACCAAGCCUACGAUGGGUAGCCGGCCUGAGAGGGUGACCGGCCACACUGGCACUGACACACGGGCCAGACUCCUACGGGAGGCAGCAGUGAGGAAUUUUGGGCAAUGGGGGAAACCCUGACCCAGCGACGCCGCGUGGGCGAUGAAGGUCUUCGGAUCGUAAAGCCCUGUGAGUGGGGAAGAAGGGAUUGGUUGCUAAUAUCAACCAGUUUUGACAGUACCCACAGAGGAAGCCCCGGCUAACUACGUGCCAGCAGCCGCGGUAAAACGUAGGGGGCUAGCGUUGUUCGGAAUUACUGGGCGUAAAGCGCGUGUAGGCGGUUUUGUAAGUCGGAAGUGAAAUUCCUCGGCUCAACCGAGGAACUGCUUUCGAAACUACUGAACUUGAGUAUGGGCGGGGAGAGCGGAAUUCCCGGUGUGGCGGUGAAAUGCGUAGAUAUCGGGAAGAACACCAGUGGCGAAGGCGGCUCUCUGGACCAUUACUGACGCUGAGACGCGAAAGCGUGGGUAGCAAACAGGAUUAGAUACCCUGGUAGUCCACGCCCUAAA